GACGAACGCUGGCGGCGUGCUUAACACAUGCAAGUCGAACGAAAAUACCAAGCUUGCUUGGUUGAUUAGUGGCGAACGGGUGAGUAACACGUGAGUAACCUGCCCCUUACUUUCCUGGAUAACUGCUCGAAAGGGUAGCUAAUACGGGAUAUUCUGACCAGCCUGCAUGGGUUGGUUUGGAAAGGUUGUUUUUCUGGUAAGGGAUGGGCUCGCGGCCUAUCAGCUUGUUGGUGGGGUGAUGGCCUACCAAGGCUUUGACGGGUAGCCGGCCGGAGGGGGUGGACGGUCACACGGGGACUGAGAUACGGCCCAGACUCCUACGGGAGGCAGCAGUGGGGAAUAUUGCACAAUGGGCGCAAGCCUGAUGCAGCGACGCCGCGUGAGGGAUGAAGGCCUUCGGGUUGUAAACCUCUUUCGUCAGGGAACAAGGCACUGCUUUUUUGGUGGUGUUGAGGGUACCUGGAUAAGAAGCGCCGGCUAACUACGUG
rnacentral:rRNA from 1 species